rnacentral:ncRNA from 1 species
ACUAGUUAAAGGCAAACCUGUUGAAAAGCAGGGACGCAAAGCUACGGGUCUAAGGGCUGGGAAACGCCUAAGAUCGCCGGGCCGCCUAU